CCCUUAGACGUUCUGGGCCGCACGCGCGCUACACUGACCAGUGCAACAAGCAUCCGUCCUUGGCCGACAGGCCCGGGCAAUCUUUGAACGCUGGUCGUGAUGGGGAUAGACUUUUGCAAUUUUUGGUCUUCAACGAGGAAUUCCUAGUAAACGCAAGUCAUCAACUUGCAUUGAUUACGUCCCUGCCCUUUGUACACACCGCCCGUCGCACCUACCGAUUGAAUGGUCCGGUGAAGCCUCCGGAUUGGUGCGCACCUCGGUGCCGCCGAGAAGUUGGCUAAACCUUACCAUUUAGAGGAAGGUGAANUCGUANCA
rnacentral:rRNA from 1 species